GAUGAACGCUGGCGGCGUGCCUAAUACAUGCAAGUAGAACGCUGAAGGAGGAGCUUGCUCUUCUGGAUGAGUUGCGAACGGGUGAGUAACGCGUAGGUAACCUGCCUGGUAGCGGGGGAUCACUAUUGGAAACGAUAGCUAAUACCGCAUGACAACAGUUAUUGCAUGAUAACUGUUUAAAAGGGGCAACUGCUCCACUACCAGAUGGACCUGCGUUGUAUUAGCUAGUUGGUGAGGUAACGGCUCACCAAGGCGACGAUACAUAGCCGACCUGAGAGGGUGAUCGGCCACACUGGGACUGAGACACGGCCCAGACUCCUACGGGAGGCAGCAGUAGGGAAUCUUCGGCAAUGGACGGAAGUCUGACCGAGCAACGCCGCGUGAGUGAAGAAGGUUUUCGGAUCGUAAAGCUCUGUUGUAAGAGAAGAACGAGUGUGAGAGUGGAAAGUUCACACUGUGACGGUAUCUUACCAGAAAGGGACGGCUAACUACGUG
rnacentral:rRNA from 1 species